rnacentral:lncRNA from 10 species
ACCGCUUUCCCCGUAACCAGGGAGACUGCAGUUUGCAGUGAUGUGGCUAAGAUACCCUUGUGCUAUUAAAGGCACAUUUACGUAUCUUUCAACGCAGUUUGUACCUUUGUUUAGGGUUCUAUUGAACUUUCUCUGUGCUCUUUAGAAAACCGUCGAAUAAAGGUAACCAUCUUUUUGGGUGCCUGGGCAUGGUCAUUGUCCCAGAGUUUUAACAGAAGUCUCUACUAAAGUAUCCUGAUUUGCAAGGGAGGUCAUGGACCAAGUACAAAGCGGCAAAAGGAUGGAAUUAAGGGAUAUUUCCAGUGAAAGAAAGAAGAAAGCAUGCUUUUCUCUUGACUGUGCAGAAAAAAAAACUAUGUUUCUUUGAUUCUCCAUUUUACUAGAUGCCAUACCUUUGCAAUUACUUCAUGUGGAGUCUUGACCAAGAUUCAGGAAAUACUAGAACUUUCAGUCCCAGAAGGUUACUCUGGGCAUUACUAGUCCCCAUCAUUAUGAGUUGAGUUUUACUAGUUAAUUUCAGACGAAAAAUAUUUGUUUUUCCCCAAAUUCUGGGGUUACGUACUUUUACUACCUAUGAACUGACAACUGUAUCUUCAGUAAUUACAAUUUCCAACAAAAUGUUAUAGGAAUAAAGAAAAGAUGUUAGUUCAUUAUUCAGAGUUUAUGUUUAUUCCUUUAAUAAAAAGAAAU